UCAGGCAUGCAGAGGUUUCAGACAUAGUUAAACAUAGUUGCUCAUUUGCUCCAUGUCAGUAAUGCUGUUCUUGUUUCGUCUGUGGCUUAUCUGCCUCUUAACAGGUGAUGCCUCUAGUGAGGGAAUAGCACCAGUCUCUCCGAAUGCAUUUGUUUUAGAAGGGAACACCAUCACCCUGUCCUGCAAUUACAAUGGAUCAACCGCUACAGAUGCUCUCCACUGGUAUCGUCAGUACCCGAGAUCCAGACCAGACUUCCUGUUUCUAGUUAAUGAAGCUGCAUUUAAGCAACCAGCUGAUCCUCCAAUUCCUGGAAUAUCUGUUAGAUUAAAUGAGGAGAAAAAUCGUGUGGAUCUGGAGAUUAAUGGUACUGCAUUAACUGAUUCUGCUCUGUACUACUGUGCCCUGCAGCCCACCGUGACAGGAAACACACAUACACUGUACAAAAAUCAGACACAUUAAAAUAGAAUUCAGUGUGUGUGCUCAGUGGAUG